rnacentral:rRNA from 1 species
AUUGAACGCUGGCGGCAUGCCUUACACAUGCAAGUCGAACGGCAGCACGGGUGCUUGCACCUGGUGGCGAGUGGCGAACGGGUGAGUAAUACAUCGGAACAUGUCCUGUAGUGGGGGAUAGCCCGGCGAAAGCCGGAUUAAUACCGCAUACGAUCUACAGCUGAAAGCGGGGGACCUUCGGGCCUCGCGCUAUCGGGUUGGCCGAUGGCUGAUUAGCUAGUUGGUGGGGUAAAGGCCUACCAAGGCGACGAUCAGUAGCUGGUCUGAGAGGACGACCAGCCACACUGGGACUGAGACACGGCCCAGACUCCUACGGGAGGCAGCAGUGGGGAAUUUUGGACAAAGGGCGAAAGCCUGAUCCAGCAAUGCCGCGUGUGUGAAGAAGGCCUUCGGGUUGUAAAGCACUUUUGUCCGGAAAGAAAUCCUUGGCCCUAAUACGGUCGGGGGAUGACGGUACCGGAAGAAUAAGCACCGGCUAACUACGUG